rnacentral:rRNA from 1 species
UACGAAGGGGGCUAGCGUUGUUCGGAAUUACUGGGCGUAAAGCGCACGCAGGCGGCUCGUUAAAUUAGAAGUGAAAGCCCUGGGCUCAACCCGGGAAUUGCUUUUGAGACUGGCGAGCUUGAAUCCAGAAGAGGGUAGUGGAAUUCCAAGUGUAGAGGUGAAAUUCGUAGAUAUUUGGAAGAACACCAGUGGCGAAGGCGACUACCUGGUCUGGGAUUGACGCUCAUGUGCGAAAGCGUGGGGAGCAAAC